rnacentral:rRNA from 1 species
UCAGUAACGGCGAGUGAAGCGGUAACAGCUCAAAUUUGAAAUCUGGGUCUUUCAGGCUCCGAGUUGUAAUUUGUAGAAGAUGCUUCGGGUGCGGCUCCGGUCUAAGUUCCUUGGAACAGGACGUCAUAGAGGGUGAGAAUCCCGUAUGUGAUCGGUUGCUUGCGCCCAUGUGAAGCUCUUUCGACGAGUCGAGUUGUUUGGGAAUGCAGCUCAAAAUGGGUGGUAAAUUUCAUCUAAAGCUAAAUAUUGGCCAGAGACCGAUAGCGCACAAGUAGAGUGAUCGAAAGAUGAAAAGCACUUUGGAAAGAGAGUUAAACAGUACGUGAAAUUGUUGAAAGGGAAGCGCUUGCAACCAGACUUGCGCGUUGCUGAUCAUCCGGGGUUCUCCCCGGUGCACUCGGCCUCGCUCAGGCCAGCAUCGGUUUCGGUGGUGGGAUAAAGGCCUUGGGAAUGUAGCUUCUUUCGGGGAGUGUUAUAGCCCUCGGUGCAAUGCCGCCUACCGGGACCGAGGACCGCGCUUCGGCUAGGAUGCUGGCGUAAUGGUUGUAAGCGACCC